rnacentral:rRNA from 1 species
UGGGGAAUAUUGCACAAUGGGCGAAAGCCUGAUGCAGCGACGCCGCGUGAGGGAUGACGGCCUUCGGGUUGUAAACCUCUUUCAGUAGGGACGAAGCGCAAGUGACGGUACCUGCAGAAGAAGCACCGGCUAACUACGUGCCAGCAGCCGCGGUAAUACGUAGGGUGCGAGCGUUGUCCGGAAUUACUGGGCGUAAAGAGCUCGUAGGCGGUUUGUCACGUCGUCUGUGAAAUCCUAGGGCUUAACCCUGGACGUGCAGGCGAUACGGGCUGACUUGAGUACUACAGGGGAGACUGGAAUUUCUGGUGUAGCGGUGGAAUGCACAGAUAUCAGGAAGAACACCGAUGGCGAAGGGAGGUCUCUGGGUAGUAACUGACGCUGAGGAGCGAAAGCAUGGGUAGCGAACAGG